UGUUUUUGGCAAAAAUUCCACAAAGAUGGCAUCUUGGAAGAAAAGAAAUGAGGGGGGGGGGGGGGGCAGUUUUUGUGGCGUCUUUUCAAAACUUGUGACUGUUCCUAGGCUUAGGCUGGGAUUAAACACAGUUUAUAUGCCGCAUUUUUCUAAUCACACAUUGCAUUAUCUUUGGUGCCCCCCCAUGUCAGGGCAUGCUGGGAGUUGUAGUUUUGUAACAGGUGGACAACCACAAGGGAUAACUGAUGCAGUAUGUCAAUCUAGGGCCAUGGUGUCUGAUCUUGAACUGGCAGCAGGAGCCACGACCACUUUAAAUCAAUGGCUGCCGGAACGUCUGAUGAGUGACAUCCUACGCUGCAGACCCCAACGUCAGGGACGUCACUCGUCAGACACCAAGGCUGUUGGGGCCACAAAAUGAUAUUACAAAUACUAAGCGUCUGGUUAGGAGAAACAAAUAUAAUUCACCCAUAGGGAGUAGCGCCAUUUUAAUAAAAAUUGCAAAAAAAAACUAAUCCCUUUGAUAACAGUCAUACAGAAUAUGUUAAAAAGCUUUUUUAGGUUUCAGCCAAUCAGAGAGCAGCACUGCUCAAAUAGAACUCCCAGGAGGUAACAGCGUGUCACACAUGUGAUGUCAUAACCAUUGUCCACCAGAGAGCAGCACUGAGCAGAUAUAACACUGCUCCUGCUCAUUCUCCAUCAGUGAGGGGCCGGUGCUGGACACUGUAGGGACGCGGGAAUGUGAAGUCAAAAACAUGACUGUGACUGAUGCAUUAUUUCCAGCAUGUGGAGUAGCAUUUCCGGACUUAAAGCAAGAAGUUGGAUGAUGGCCUAGAUUCCGGACCUACAGCAAGACGUUGGAUGAAGGCCUAGAUUUCCGGAC